AGUGAACGCUGGCGGUAGGCCUAACACAUGCAAGUCGAACGGCAGCACAGUAAGAGCUUGCUCUUACGGGUGGCGAGUGGCGGACGGGUGAGGAAUACAUCGGAAUCUACUUUUUCGUGGGGGAUAACGUAGGGAAACUUACGCUAAUACCGCAUACGACCUACGGGUGAAAGCAGGGGAUCUUCGGACCUUGCGCGAUUGAAUGAGCCGAUGUCGGAUUAGCUAGUUGGCGGGGUAAAGGCCCACCAAGGCGACGAUCCGUAGCUGGUCUGAGAGGAUGAUCAGCCACACUGGAACUGAGACACGGUCCAGACUCCUACGGGAGGCACCAGUGGGGAAUAUUGGACAAUGGGCGCAAGCCUGAUCCAGCCAUACCGCGUGGGUGAAGAAGGCCUUCGGGUUGUAAAGCCCUUUUGUUGGGAAAGAAAAGCAGCAGGUUAAUACCCCGCUGUUCUGACGGUACCCAAAGAAUAAGCACCGGCUAACUUCGU
rnacentral:rRNA from 1 species